UUCUGUCAGCUUUCCUUCCCACCACCUGGAUGUCGGAGGACGUCAUACUGGCCGCACAGAGUGUACGGAGGACACAACAUGGCGGCACACUCUGCCUCAGCUUCAGCAUCACAUUACAGGUGGUGUUGCUGAAGUUUAAGCAACUUCAAAGACAAUGGAUAGUGAAAAUCUGGAGGGACAUCAGGCGGUAUUUCAAGAGAAUAUUACCAUCAGGAUAGACCCUCAGCAUGAUGUUCUCCAUGGUUGUGUCAUGGAUAAAAGAACGCUUAGAGUGGACAAAGAACACGUCAGGAACCCAAAUCUUCUUCACCAGACGUGCAUCGAAGGUCCGACUCUUGUUGCUGCUGGAGGGGAAGGCCAGACGAUCGUCCUGCCAGUAAUGCCUCAGGGGCAGAAUGCUGUGAACGUAUGAUGUGUGCUGCAAACAUCCCGUUCCCUCUGUGCCAUUAUCUAAUGAAGCAGAUACGAGUUAAGACCCCCCUGGAGUCGGGUUUGUUCUCACAUUGGACUGUUGCUGAGCUGCAUUCUCCACGUUCAAUUCAGCCAUAUGACCACUUGCUGAGACCACAAGCCUUUAAGUUGAGUUCAAGGUGAAAUCGAUUGUGAUUUGACUGUAAAAGUUUUGAUGAAUAUUCAAUCAGUCUUGUACACUCAGAUUAAAAACAAAAAUGAAAUGAAAAUCCAAGCCCGUGCUUGGAAGCAGUUUAUAUCCUCUAACAGCAGG